UAAUACAUGCAAGUCGAGCGGACGACUUUUGGUGCUUGCACCAGAAUUCGUUAGCGGCGGACGGGUGAGUAACACGUGGGUAACCUACCUUGUAGACUGGGAUAACUUCGGGAAACCGAGGCUAAUACCGGAUAAUGCUUUUUAAACACAUGUUUGAAAGUUGAAAGAUGGUCUUGCUAUCACUACAAGAUGGACCCGCGGCGCAUUAGCUAGUUGGUGGGGUAAUGGCUCACCAAGGCAACGACGCGUAGCCGACCUGAGAGGGUGAUCGGCCACACUGGGACUGAGACACGGCCCAGACUCCUACGGGAGGCAGCAGUAGGGAAUCUUCCACAAUGGACGAAAGUCUGAUGGAGCAACGCCGCGUGAAGUGAAGAAGGAUUUCGGUUCGUAAAAACUCUGUUGCAAGGGAAGAACAAGUAGCGUAGUAACUGGCGCUACCUUGACGGUACCUUGUUAGAAAGCCACGGCUAACUACGUGCCAGCAGCUGC
rnacentral:rRNA from 1 species